UGGGGAAUUUUGGACAAUGGGGGCAACCCUGAUCCAGCGACGCCGCGUGGAGGACGAAGGUCUUCGGAUUGUAAACUCCUUUUGGAGGGGAUGAAUGGCCUGGUGAAUAGCCAGGUGUGACAGUACUCUCUGAAUAAGCCACGGCUAACUACGUGCCAGCAGCCGCGGUAAUACGUAGGUGGCAAGCGUUACUCGGAAUCACUAGGCGUAAAGCGCAGGUAGGCGGUUCGGUAAGUCUCUUGUGAAAGCUCCCGGCUCAACUGGGAGAGGUCAAGGGAAACUGCCGGGCUAGAGUGUGGCAGAGGAAGCUGGAAUUCCCGGUGUAGCGGUGAAAUGCGUAGAGAUCGGGAGGAAUACCUAUGGCGAAAGCAGGCUUCUGGGCCGUCACUGACACUGAUCUGCGAAAGCUAGGGGAGCAAACAG
rnacentral:rRNA from 1 species